rnacentral:lncRNA from 1 species
AAAAAAGUGUAGAAAAUUUGAAGAUCGCAAGAACAUGAGAAUUAUUUUGCCCUAAAAGGGCCUUGAUGUUAUGACAUUAGACAUAAUCACCCGUGGAGCAUCGGACAAGAAAUAUUGCUCCAAAUCCACUAACUUCAACCAAGAAAAAGUACAAAAUGUAUUGAUUUCUUCAAAUUCUCUCUAGCUUCUCUAUUUACAAAACAGUAAUCAAAGCACUCAUAAUCUCACAAAGAUUGUACAGAAUAACCAUUACACUUACUAAAAGAAUGGAGAUUAAACACAAAGAUCACUAUUAUAGAUUUUCAGAGAAACCUCAUCUCCCUCAAAGAAAAAGAACCAUCCAAAAUUGAAGGAGACGAAAGAGCCAAGUAUAAGUACUAAUCCAUACCAAUAAACACAAUCUAGGGUCAAGAAUGAGCCAUGCACACGACAGAUCAAAACCUUUAAAAUCAAAAGCAAAGUCAUUUUAAACUGGAAACACAUUUUUAACCAACUGGAUCUUAACCCGCUUUUAGAAAUAAGACAGUCUAAGAAGGAAUUGCAGCCCAACAGGUCAAGUAAAAUAGUGAGGCAGUCCAACCAUUCUGACAUCUUUGUUUUAAGUGGAAUUACACUCACUAAUACAUUUAAAUUCUCAAUUUCAAAAAUCAAGUUAUAACUAUUUUUUUUUUUUCCAAGAAUCAGGUUAUAAUUAGUAUUAUUUUUAAUUUAAAAACAUGUAUUAUAAUCCCCCAACCAAACAACCCUGAAAUCUCACCUAUAUUCACCUGUACCUGCCCAUGCUACCUCCCUAUUCACUCCCUCACACACGCACAACACAAUUAGAUCGGCCACAAUCCAGUAAGUUGGUCACUGAGCGCGAUGCCCCUGCGCGUACAAUCCUACACGGCGAUUGCCAUUGUGUGAAGCAGCACCUUGAUCACCUUCUCCAGGAGCCAUAAGUGAAUGUCGUACCAUCAUUAAGUAGUAGCGCUGGGUCGAUUACCUUCUCCAGGGUCUCACAUAUGAGAUCUAGUACAUUUUUGAAAUUUAAAGUCAAUACAACAAACAUAGAAAUUCUAUUUUGCAAAAAUAAGGUUUUCUCGUUUCUCUCUCUUUUUCUGAUUUUGUGGUGUUGAAAUUGGGGGUUGAUUUGUGGUGUAUUGAAAGUGUAGGUGUAUGUGGUGGUGGCGGGUUUAGUAUUUUGUUGAUGGGAUUGUGGCAAUAGUGUGGUAGUGUUGGAAAAAAUGGUGGAUUUUAGCAAGCAAUGGUGGUACGAUGGUUGAUUAGAGGUGGUAGUGGUGAGUGGUUUUUGGAGCAGGCGGUUGUGGGAUGCGACGCGACGGCGAUGUAUGUGGUAGUGGUGCUGGCGGUGCUGAUGAGGUAGUACUGCUGACGGUGAGGUGCGAUUGUUUGGUGCCCCAUGGUUGAUCUAGGAUAAGUGGCAUGGGGUGAGUAGCGUGUGAUCAAUUAUUUAUAAUCAUGACUAUCGCAUUUUUACAUUUUUAUGUCCCGCAAGUGUACGAAUUAUAACAAGUAAUUUA